CCCAGUCGCCGCCGCUUUUUACCACCGCGACAUUUUGCCCCCGCCGCCGAGGAUUUUUGUCCCCGCCGCCGCGGCUCUGAGGGCGGGAGCGGCAGACUCGGCUGCCAGCUCUACUGGCGUCCUGGCAAGGGCAGCGCCGAGGGGUGCUCCUGGCCAGCUCUCCUGGCUCAGGGAUUCCUUGCCUAGGCGCCGGCGCCCCGGGCUCCUUGCCUAGGCCCCUGUGGCCUGCAUAGAGCGGCGCUGCCUGCGGAGGCGAUGGGAGAGAAGAAGGAGGGCGGUGGUGGGGGUGAUGCGGCGGCCACGGAGGGUGGCACAGGGGCUGCGGCCAGCCGGGCGCUGCAGCAGUGCGGGCAGCUCCAGAAGCUCAUCGUCAUCUUCAUUGGCAGCCUGAGCGGGCUGUGCACCAAGUGCGCUGUGUCCAACGACCUCACCCAGCAGGAGAUACAGACCCUGGAG
rnacentral:lncRNA from 1 species